CGUAACGGUGUCAGAGGCAUGCAUAGGUUAUGACGUAUUGGCAAUAGCGAAUAGAGGCAACCAGCCCCUGUGCUAUAAGGCCGAUUUUACACGAUGAUACGUGUAUGAAAUGUGGAUAUGCUAUAGUACAUCCAACGAGACGAGGCAGUCGCUUUUGAAUGUCACUAGUCGGCAGCCAAUAGUUGCAACCGCAGUAAUCAAAUUUUGUUCACAUUUACUGUCCCGUCACGUUGGAUAGACUAUACAUGUAUACCAACAGAAGCGUUUAAACGACGAUUGUUGACAAAUACAAUUUGGCGGUACUGAUUUCGUGCAUCUUGAGUAACUUGAUCGCUGGCGAUACUUUUCUACAGAUCAAAGAAUGAUCUAUACAGAUGAUUCACUCAAGAAUAAAUGAUACUGUAUAUUUAAUUCCUGGAAAUAUAUCUUAUACGUAUAUUGCGGUACGUAUUUUGCGGUACACGUAUCGCCGUGUGAAACUGGCUUAACGCUUUUAAUAUGGGGAAGGAGAUUCAGAUUCACACACACACACACAACAAUGAGCCGCUGCAACGCGCAUGUGUCCAGAAACACGAGGUAGACGCGGAGAGCAAACCUUGCUUGAGUAUUGGCGUCGAGACGUUGUAUUAAGUAGAAAAGCGAGAGUAGAAAGGAAAUGUGAGAAAGGCUAUUAAAUAAUGACUGUGCGUAACUAGUACAAGAUUAAGAAUUUUAGAGUAUAAACGUAACGUCAAGGCUUCAUAUUUAGUUUCGGUUCCAUACAGUCAAGAACUUAAGUUGUCCUGGAUCGAAGUUACCAAGUGGGGAUUUAAGCAGAGGGAGAAAAAUAUUCGGUCGAUCAGGUUGUUGUGCCGAGUUUGAAUCGGAAUCUUCUAUUUGCCAAGCGGGUUUUACUAAUUGAACUAUACAGAAAAGUACGUGUCCGGUGGAGAAUUAAACUAUUGAAGUUGCUUUCGAGAGUAUUUCUUCAGCGUUUGAGAGUAACUGUUUCAGAGGUAUGAGGUAGCUUACUCUCGAAUAGACCAUGAUCGGAGAGCCACUGGCACAAUUCGAAACAAUUUCAUAUUUUAAAAGUAGUAUAUCAUGAGAGUUGGUUACAAGUUUGAACGUUCCGUAAAAAAAAAAUUCAACGGACAAUUUAUAAUUUGAGAAACCAGGUGACACAAGAACUCAAAAAAAGAAAAAAUAGAAAAAAGAAGUAGCAGCGAUCCGAUAAAAAAAGGAACUUCAAAUUGGCUCUAUUUUGGGACUUUGAAAUUUUUAAUUCCAUCUCUCGCAAUAAACACCACAAAAUCGUCACACAUGAAGGCAUCGAUGGUUAAUUGUAAAUAAAAGGAAUUGGUUCAAUUGAACUAAAUUCACUGAACUUCUGUUGCCUUCACUUCCACAAAAUUGCAAAACAUCUUGGUAUCAUGUUCAAUUCGAAAAUCCCUUCUAAAUGAUGAACGUUACAGAUAGUAAGCCUUCGAAAUGAUUUUUCCGCGAAAUUUGUUACAAUUGACGCAUAAUCCUUACCUGAUAGCUAUGACAUACAGGUUAGGUUCAACUAACGAUUGACAGAUGGGAUGCGACCUUGUAUUAUUGACUAACUUUAUACGGAAAAAUUUUCUUUAUCUUUAUUUUGUUAUUUUCUUACGGUAAGAUUUUUGUAUCUUCACGAAAGUAUUAUAUUAACCAGAAUAGCAUUAUCGUGGUAAAUAAUUUUAUUUAAAUAGCAAACAAUAAAAAUGGAAACGAUAAUAGACAAAAUUCAAUGAUUUUAAACGGUAUCGACAUAUAUGUAAUUCUGAUUAUGUUACAUUAAAUAAUACAUUAUUUAUCAAUAUAUAAGAAAUAAACACAGUGCUUCAUAUUUAAUAAAAAUAGCUUCAGUAAUUAUACCAAAAUUAAGCUGAAGAAUAAAUACUUAAUGGGUUGCUUCUUUUAAAGGAACUCAACUUUGUUAAACAUUAUUUAGAUUUUCAAAAGAUUUUAUAAUAUUAAAAAGAAACGUUACUAAAUUCUAUACUGAAUAAAAAAAAAAAAAAAUAUUAAAAAGAAAUGUCAUUUUUUUACAAUUUUCAAUUUUACAAUUCCAUUAAGCUUUAUAUCUAAUCUAAGUUAGAAGAAAUAACUUCAUGAAACAUGAAACAAACAUUAUGGAGAUCCUAAUCGACGAAGUCAUAUUAAAAAUCUAGACAUUAAAAAAACGUUUAGACGUUUUAAGUCGCAAUAUUGUUUUUUACAAGGAAUUAAUAUUUAAAAAUCAAUACGGGGCUAAAUUAUGUAUUUCUUAAUAUACGACUGGAUAUACAACGAUCAUAUAACUACUCUCAUAAAAUUCCUGCAAAGUAGCUGAAGAGACUUGAGCAACGUAAAUAUGAAUUGCACCACAGAUGAUGAUGCAAGAUACAUUUCAAUUACAUGAUAAUUAUACAUACUCUAGUAUUAUACGCUUUUUUACUACUAAGCUUUAUUUCCAAUAUACAUUUCUUAAAAAGAUUGGUUUAAGAAAGACUCGUUCUAUCCAUUGUGAACUAUAUCCAGUGCUCUCUAUAUUAUUAUAAAUAGUUUAGGAUUGUAUACUGCAUAUAUACAUUUUGCGCAUUUUUGCAUUUUAAAUGCACCUUAGAAUAAAUAUUGCAAACAAUAAGUAUAUCAAAUAUCA